AAAAACCGCCUUGACACCGGACAGAGCAGAGACUGUGAAGACAGGUCUGCCAAGGAACAUCUGGUGCCCCACCCCCCUUCCCUCUCCCAGGGCCCGCGCCUCCCCAGCCACACCCAGCGCGGUGCGGCCUCCAGCGCGGGGGGGGACGCCGCCGCUGCCAUGCCGUCGGAGGGCAGGAGGCCCACGCUGAGGGCCAACCCACCGCUCCGCCGUCGCCGGGCCUCCCACCGAGAGGGCAGUGACGAGGGGCCGCUGGAGCGAGGGUCUGGGAACGAGGAGGAGGAGGACGACGGUGGAGGGGAGCCUGUGGAGGGCAGGCAGCCGCCGCAGCAGAGCGUCAUGGGGUCCCUGGCCGCCGCGGGGAGCAGCAGUUGGUACAGGGCUAUGGGGGAGAAAAGGGAACCUGUCGCAGGGGGCGCCAGAAUAGAACGGAGAUCCAGGCUAACCAACAGAGACCAGACUGAGUUUGCAACUGGACUUUUAAUUGGUAAGAAGACAUUCUUCCACCAUUAGCAAAUACUGCAGUGAUACGUACUGUUUUCUUGCAUUAACUAAAGCACCAUGAUUUUUUUUUGUAAUCAUGAGAGAAAAUGAAUAUCAAGAUUACGUGUAGGAUUAGGAUUUACUUGGUCUUUUCACAAGAUGAGACCAGUAUAGCUAGCUCAAUCAUAGCAUACACCUCUGCGCUGAAGUGGUAUUUCUUUUGGAAUGAAUGGUCUGUUUUUCUCUCAAAUGUGCAGACAUAUCUUUGGAAAUGAACAAACGACCCAGCCCUUGAAAAAAAAAAGUGUUUAAAUAACACUCAGUCAUAAGCCUGUAUGAAAAAGAUAAUGAACAAAGAGGGGAAAACUGCUGUUCAGGGAUUUGAGGAAAAACUGAUUGCAACCAUUAAUAGAUCCACACCAAGCCGUCCCUCUCUCCUCCUGUUCCUCUUCAGGGGCAGCGGACGCGGAGGAGGCCCUGAGGAAGAGGCAGGAGCGCUACAGACAGGAGCUGGAGGAGCAGAUAGCCGACCAGCAGAGGAGGAAGAGGAGGGAGAAGGAGCUGGAGCUGAGAGUGGCUGCAGCCGCACCGGAACCAGACAAGCAGCUGGACCACAUCAAAUACAUGGGCCUGACCCGGAGGAGGGAGGGGGCGGCGAGGGAGACCUACCCCGGCCGGCCGGCCAGGGACCACCCUCUCCCAGAGCCCGGCCGCACGGCCUUCCAGUCCCCCCUGCUCGAGUACAGCGCUGCCCUGGGGGAAGGCCUGCUGUCCCCCUACUGCCAGCCGGGCCCGCCCCCGCUGCACCGCGCCCUCAGGUACACGCCGGACGCACACACGCACGCGGGGGGGGGCAGUAUGUGGAUAUUUAUCGAGCUUCAUAUCUUAGACUCUUUGAAAACUGUCAAACCAUCGUUUCCAAAAAUGUAUUAAAAAAAGCUUAUUCGUGCUUCUGUCUUAGUGUUGAAGGUAAAUCUGAAACCAUAUCUGUCCAGGCUCCCAUCCUACCUGCCACACCCGCCGGCAGCGCCCCCUGAAGCCGC
rnacentral:lncRNA from 1 species